UACGGGGGGGGCAAGCGUUGUUCGGAAUUACUGGGCGUAAAGGGCUCGUAGGCGGCCAACUAAGUCAGACGUGAAAUCCCUCGGCUUAACCGGGGAACUGCCUCUGAUACUGGAUGGCUUGAGAUUGGGAGAGGGAUGCGGAAUUCCAGGUGUAGCGGUGAAAUGCGUAGAUAUCUGGAGGAACACCGGUGGCGAAGGCGGCAUCCUGGACCAACACUGACACUGAUGAGCGAAAGCCAGGGGAGCAAACGGG
rnacentral:rRNA from 1 species